rnacentral:lncRNA from 1 species
CUUCCCGGUGCCCGUAGGAUGAGACGUCGAAUAAAAGAAUCCCAGGAUUAAAUUUGAGAUAUGAGUUUCCUCUCAACCAGUAGUAUCUAUUUAAACGAUAAAGAAAAUCAAAUUAGAAUUCGAUCGGAAUUUACGAUCUGACGAUUCGAUAUUUGUAUUUUAUGUAUUCGAGUAUAUAUGUUAAUGGUGUUUGUUUCCUUUGUUCUUUAUAUCCCCACCACUACCGCCACCAUCUUUUUACCGUUCUCGAAAUUGAAACUGGCGAAGAAUACAAAUGAGAAGAGUGACGAGUGUUUUUAAAACCAUCCAAAAAAUCUUAUUUACCGUAAAGGCAAGUCCAAAGUCCAUUUAACCACGUGGAUGAACUAAUCCGAGAAAGAGGAAGAGAAAGAGAAAGAAGGAAAGAAAAGAAGGAACGAAUUUAUUCGAGACAGAAUGUUCUUUCCUUUUUAACGAUUCAACGGUAGAUGUUUUGUCCAAGAUACUAUUUCUAAGGGUCACCUGACAAAUAUUUAGCUUUAUCGUGGGCAUCAUAAGUUAUGGGAGACCGACAACAGUUCUGUGUGAGGCAACGUUUCGAUUUGUUCAAGACAUAUGGGCAGCCACGGUAGAUUAAAAAGAAUUAGUAAAAAAUCAGUGUACGGGAUUAGUCAUGUUCGAAUAAGGAGGACCCCAUAAACGUCAUAUGUCGUUUGAUUUUCCACAUUUUCCAUAGCACCGUCCAUAUGGGAAAUUUGUUCGACGUCUUUCUGACAUCAUGAUGCUGUUACGUAAGUAAAAAAUGAUUAAUAUAAAAGCAUAAUCGAUUGUUUUCGUUUCAGACGUAUCUCUUCUUGUUUGAAAGGUGAUCAUCGUUCUGAGAAAUGUAACGCAAUUUAUGAUAAUUUUAUUCUUGAAUUUUAAAAAGAUCCAGAUAAGCAAUAAGAUGACCAAUCACGACAGAUUAACUUCAAUAUUUCAAGCGAGUUAAACGAUGAUUUAUUAAUCAAACAAAUCAAAUUAAAUUUGUUUGAAUCUUUAUCUACAACGGAAGGAUUAAUAUUCAUUCAAGAUGUAUGGAUCAAAAUACGUUUGAGAAUACGCAAAUGAGGAUAUAUGUGUACAUAUAUACAUAUAUAUAUAGAUGAAUGGAAAAUACGCGACAAACAUCCACCAGUUAGUGAGACAACUAGAAAGGUGACUAGAAAGACGCGAGAUGUGAGAUCGACUGAAUGUGGUAGCAUCUGCCACUAUCGUUUUGGAGUUUGCGCUUCCCAGGCUCCCGAGAUGCACCUGGUCCUCCGUCUGGUUGCCGGUUGCCGAGACCCUAGAGGCCACCAACCACCCCCUGACAGCUACGGUGCGCCACCCCAUCGACCACCCCAUCAACCACCCUAUGCGCCGCCUACACUCUACUCUGUAUUAAAUAAACCUGACGAUGGGGUGA